CAACAGUCUGGAGGGAUAUAUUUGUACUAAUAGGACAUGGCAAUACCAAGGACUGCACGGUAAGUUACCAGAAUAUUGUUCAAGCCUCCGUACUUCUCAAAGACUUUCCUGUAUGACAUUCAAGAACAAUAUGCCCAUCAUUCCUCCCAUGGCAAAAGUCAUCAUCAACAAUAUUAGCAUCAAGAUCAUCAUUAAAAUUAUGAUCAUAAUCACCCUUGUUAUAGCAAAUAAACUAACCAGAAGCCA